rnacentral:rRNA from 1 species
GGGGCUAUAAUGCAGUCGAGCGAUGGAUUAAGAGCUUGCUCUUAUGAAGUUAGCGGCGGACGGGUGAGUAACACGUGGGUAACCUGCCCAUAAGACUGGGAUAACUCCGGGAAACCGGGGCUAAUACCGGAUAACAUUUUGAACCGCAUGGUUCGAAAUUGAAAGGCGGCUUCGGCUGUCACUUAUGGAUGGACCCGCGUCGCAUUAGCUAGUUGGUGAGGUAACGGCUCACCAAGGCAACGAUGCGUAGCCGACCUGAGAGGGUGAUCGGCCACACUGGGACUGAGACACGGCCCAGACUCCUACGGGAGGCAGCAGUAGGGAAUCUUCCGCAAUGGACGAAAGUCUGACGGAGCAACGCCGCGUGAGUGAUGAAGGCUUUCGGGUCGUAAAACUCUGUUGUUAGGGAAGAACAAGUGCUAGUUGAAUAAGCUGGCACCUUGACGGUACCUAACCAGAAAGCCACGGCUAACUACGUGCCAGCAGCCGCGGUAAUACGUAGGUGGCAAGCGUUAUCCGGAAUUAUUGGGCGUAAAGCGCGCGCAGGUGGUUUCUUAAGUCUGAUGUGAAAGCCCACGGCUCAACCGUGGAGGGUCAUUGGAAACUGGGAGACUUGAGUGCAGAAGAGGAAAGUGGAAUUCCAUGUGUAGCGGUGAAAUGCGUAGAGAUAUGGAGGAACACCAGUGGCGAAGGCGACUUUCUGGUCUGUAACUGACACUGAGGCGCGAAAGCGUGGGGAGCAAACAGAUUAGAUACCCUGGUAGUCCACGCCGUAACGAUGAGUGCUAAGUGUUAGAGGGUUUCCGCCCUUUAGUGCUGAGGUAACGCAUAGCACUCCGCCUGGGAGUACGGCCGCAAGGCUGAAGCUCAAGGAAUAGACGGGGGGUCG